GCAAACUUGGUCAUUUAGAGGAAGUAAAAGUCGUAACAAGGUUUCCGUAGGUGAACCUGCGGAAGGAUCAUUAUUGAGUUUUGAACGGGUUGUAGCUGGCCUUUCACGAGGCAUGUGCACACCUGGCUCAUCCACUCUAAAACUCUGUGCACUUUUUGUAGGAAUGAUGGAUACUGGCUUUUGUCAGUGGAAGUCUUUUCUAUGUUUUUAUUACAAACACUUUAGUAACAGAAUGUAACUUUGCAUAUAAUGCAUUAUAUACAACUUUCAGCAACGGAUCUCUUGGCUCUCGCAUCGAUGAAGAACGCAGC
rnacentral:misc_RNA from 1 species